rnacentral:rRNA from 1 species
ACUCCUACGGGAGGCAGCAGUGGGGAAUAUUGCACAAUGGGCGAAAGCCUGAUGCAGCAACGCCGCGUGAAGGAAGAAGGUCUUCGGCUCGUAAAGCUCUGUUGUCGGGGACGAAUGUGCAGUAUUUGAAUAAAGUAGUGCAAUGACGGCACCUGACGAGGAAGCCACGGCUAACUACGUGCCAGCAGCCGCGGUAAU